rfam:Brachypodium distachyon strain Bd21 chromosome 3, whole genome shotgun sequence.
UAUGUACUACCUCCGUUUCAUAAUUCUUGUCUCAAAUUUUUCCCAAAAUGGAUGUAUCUAUUCCUAAAAAGCGUUAGAUACAUGUAAUAUUUCGACAAGAAUUAUGGAACGGAGGGAGUACUAA